rnacentral:rRNA from 2 species
UAAUACAUGCAAGUCGAACGCGUUGGCCCAAUUGAUUGAUGGUGCUUGCACCUGAUUGAUUUUGGUCGCCAACGAGUGGCGGACGGGUGAGUAACACGUAGGUAACCUGCCCAGAAGCGGGGGACAACAUUUGGAAACAGAUGCUAAUACCGCAUAACAGCGUUGUUCGCAUGAACAACGCUUAAAAGAUGGCUUCUCGCUAUCACUUCUGGAUGGACCUGCGGUGCAUUAGCUUGUUGGUGGGGUAAYGGCCUACCAAGGCGAUGAUGCAUAGCCGAGUUGAGAGACUGAUCGGCCACAAUGGGACUGAGACACGGCCCAUACUCCUACGGGAGGCAGCAGUAGGGAAUCUUCCACAAUGGGCGCAAGCCUGAUGGAGCAACACCGCGUGAGUGAAGAAGGGUUUCGGCUCGUAAAGCUCUGUUGUUAAAGAAGAACACGUAUGAGAGUAACUGUUCAUACGUUGACGGUAUUUAACCAGAAAGUCACGGCUAACUACGUGCCAGCAGCCGCGGUAAUACGUAGGUGGCAAGCGUUAUCCGGAUUUAUUGGGCGUAAAGAGAGUGCAGGCGGUUUUCUAAGUCUGAUGUGAAAGCCUUCGGCUUAACCGGAGAAGUGCAUCGGAAACUGGAUAACUUGAGUGCAGAAGAGGGUAGUGGAACUCCAUGUGUAGCGGUGGAAUGCGUAGAUAUAUGGAAGAACACCAGUGGCGAAGGCGGCUACCUGGUCUGCAACUGACGCUGAGACUCGAAAGCAUGGGUAGCGAACAGGAUUAGAUACCCUGGUAGUCCAUGCCGUAAACGAUGAGUGCUAGGUGUUGGAGGGUUUCCGCCCUUCAGUGCCGGAGCUAACGCAUUAAGCACUCCGCCUGGGGAGUACGACCGCAAGGUUGAAACUCAAAGGAAUUGACGGGGGCCCGCACAAGCGGUGGAGCAUGUGGUUUAAUUCGAAGCUACGCGAAGAACCUUACCAGGUCUUGACAUCUUGCGCCAACCCUAGAGAUAGGGCGUUUCCUUCGGGAACGCAAUGACAGGUGGUGCAUGGUCGUCGUCAGCUCGUGUCGUGAGAUGUUGGGUUAAGUCCCGCAACGAGCGCAACCCUUGUUACUAGUUGCCAGCAUUAAGUUGGGCACUCUAGUGAGACUGCCGGUGACAAACCGGAGGAAGGUGGGGACGACGUCAGAUCAUCAUGCCCCUUAUGACCUGGGCUACACACGUGCUACAAUGGACGGUACAACGAGUCGCGAACUCGCGAGGGCAAGCAAAUCUCUUAAAACCGUUCUCAGUUCGGACUGCAGGCUGCAACUCGCCUGCACGAAGUCGGAAUCGCUAGUAAUCGCGGAUCAGCAUGCCGCGGUGAAUACGUUCCCGGGCCUUGUACACACCGCCCGUCACACCAUGAGAGUUUGUAACACCCAAAGUCGGUGGGGUAACCUUUUA